UUCUCCAUCUUGGACAUUGAGAAAAUAGAAGGCGGUAACCGAUAUUUCCCAUUCGGAAGUGGAUUGGGAUGAAGAUCAGGCCGAAUUCCCAUUUGGACUAAAUCAAGUCGACUCUGAAGAUUGUCUUUUGAUUUUUCGUCGACGUUCAAAAUUGUACCCACAAUGUUCUCGCAGACAUUUUUCUCAAUCUGCAUAACAUCAAGAUUGUGUCGUAAAAGGUGAUGCUCCCAAUAAGGCAACUCAAAAAAAAUACUUCUUUUUUUCCACAAGUCCGCCUCAUUAGGAUCAUCCUCUUCGUCGGAGCUUUC
rnacentral:lncRNA from 1 species